rnacentral:rRNA from 1 species
CACGUAGGGGGCGAGCGUUGUCCGGAAUGACUGGGCGUAAAGGGCGUGUAGGCGGCCGUCCGCGUCUCGAGUGAAAGGCUUCGGCUCAACCGAGGUAAGCUUGGGAAACGGGGCGGCUGGAGGGCAGGAGAGGGAAGCGGAAUUCCCGGUGUAGCGGUGAAAUGCGUAGAUAUCGGGAAGAACACCAGUGGCGAAGGCGGCUUCCUGGACUGGCCCUGACGCUGAGGCGCGAAAGCUGGGGGAGCGAACAGG